rnacentral:lncRNA from 1 species
UUCUAACGUGGCACCAGAGCUCAACAGAAGAGCUCAGAAACUCUUCGCCAUUAAUGCUGAGUGGAAAAAGCCAAUCUCAAAAGGUUAUACACAGUAUGAUUCCAUUUUAGUAACAUUCUGAAAGUGACAGAACUGUAGAGAUGGAGAACAGACUAGCAACACCCAGGGCUCAGGGAUGAGGGAUAGGAUGCAAUAUGAAAGUGUCACCAAAGGGAGUUCCUCUGUGGUGAGGGAAGAUUCUGUAUCUUGAUGGUGGUGGUCAUACAAAUCUAAAUAUAUGAUAAAAUAGCAUAAAACUACACACACACGACUGCAUGAAAAACUGGUAAAAUCUGAAUAAAUUCUAUAGAUUACACCAAUGUCACUUCCUUGGUUUUGAUGCUGUACUGCAGCUGUGUAAGAUGUUACCGCUGAGAGAAAUGGGGUGAAGAUAUGCAGUUCUUGCUGGACUAUUUUUUCCACUCCCUAUGAGUCUAUAACUAUUUAAUGAUAAAGAGUCUUAAAUAACUGAGUUUCAUUCUCUACAUAUGUUUCCUGAAUUCUUUUAACUAGAAUCCUCAUAAAAAUUCUGUGACAGGUUUUUCUGAGCCUGCUAUUGAACACGUGAGGAACCUGGGUCUCAAGCAUUUCAUCGUGGCUAACAGAAGAAUCUCUGAAGCCACAGUACCUGGACUCCAGCUCCAGGGCCACUUACCAGCCAUUUGACUUUGGCCAAAAGUUAGAGAAAGAGAAUCUCUCUGACCUCAACUAUCCCCAUGAGGCAAACUGGAAUAUGCUGUGUCAUGCAUCUGACUCACGUCUCAGAAACACUGAGAGGGUCUGGCGUCCUGGGCCUCGGAAGCACCCCCAGCAGGCACAUCAAGUGCUCUCUCAGUUCCACAGGACAGAGUCCCACGGAGAACCUGGCAAAAUAACCCUCGCAGCAUCUGGGUUUUUUCAGAAAAUGGAAUUUCCCCCUGUAAUUAUCUCAAGUGUUUCUGGGCGAGUUGAAUAAAUGAGACCUGCAGCCUGCACUGCACACUUCAGGAACUGCAAGUCAUUCCUGAAUUGUUUUUUCAAAAAGAAGGGAAAAAAAGGCAAACAGAGCUAGAAGACCAUUAUUGCCCAGACAAUGACAGAAAAUCUAUUUGGAUUUGGGGCUUGGGGGUGGACGAGUAGUUUGUAUGUUGUCUUUUUUUAGUAGCUGUGUGUUGAGAAGUGGAUUGACUCAGGGAAUGUUGUCGGGGUUUUUUGGUUGGAGGUGUGCAUUCAGAUAUUACUCAGGAAAGGGGACAUGUAAGCCCAGGAGAUCUGUGAUGGUCUGUAGCUUUCUCUGAAGGCCCUGUUGUCUAUAAGGCAUGGGGUUUGCUUAACACAUAGGCCAGCAAAUGCUUGGCUGGCCAAUGCCCUUGGGAUGAAGUCUACACUGCUUCAGCUGCGCCCACCCAGCCCCAGCCAGAUCCCUCCUUGCUCCUCCCCCACGCCUUGUGCCACAGCUGGUCUGCACAUCUAGGAGUUAUGAGAAUGCACUGGGAGCCCUGACCUGCAUGCCUUGGGACACCCUGGAAAACUAGAACAAUGUGACAAACUCCUGCUCACCCCUGCAGACCCAGCUCUCCUUCCAAAGGCUUUCUCUAACCCUCCCACCCGCGCAGGUGCCUCUCCAGGGCACACCCUUCUCCUGGUACUG